GCCUGGAUAACUGAUAUACACUAUUGACACAUUGUUCCAAAACUAUAUAAGCAUAAUAAGAUCGUUAAAAUUCCUAACAUUCUAUAAACCAACGGGCUGACAUAGCCAUGUCAUUAUCGUCCGAACUUACCCGAAACAAUGUCCGAACAUACCCGAAACUGUCCGAAGUUCCCCACAGGUGGUUUUACCCGUGGAUAUGCAUUUUUUUAACUGUUGAUAAG
rnacentral:lncRNA from 1 species